rnacentral:lncRNA from 1 species
CUCCCUCCAGACUCUGUCUGAGGAGUUAACCAGAUGCCUUACCUCUCUAGGUAUGUGGAGACCAAAGCCAAGGGGCUGUGUUCCUGCGAGAAUUUACACUGAUUCGGAGAGAGAGCCUCCAUGAAGAUUUCCUGUCUGACCUCGUGAAUAAUCACAAAAUGGAAGAUUCGGUGACGCCCAGGCGCGUGGCCGAUGAGCCGAGUCCGCUGUCGUGUUCCCAGGCUGCGGUCCUGUCCUUCGCUCUCCUCUCGCCCUGGUCUUUGCUGAGCUCCCGGGAAAAACCUGCCACGUCGUUCUCCUGCCCUCCAGUUCCCGCAGCCCGGCCUGUGCACUUGCAUGAAGUCAUCUGACUGCUGCACCGCGUCUCUCUCACCUCCGUGCCCCUGAAGCACUGUCCAAACCUCUCACACCAUGGCCCCUUCGUGCAUCAGAGUUCUCUGUUUACCAGGGUUUCUCCUGAGGAACCUUUGUCCUUUUUCACACCCCCUCUGUACAGCUUAAAGGUGGAUACUUCUCAACUUUUCACUAAUUAUGUGAAUUUUUUUUCUGAGACAGGGUCUCACUGUGUAGUUGAGACUGACCUGGAACUCACUAUGUAGCCCAGGAUGGUCUAGAACUUGUAGUGGUCCUCCUGCCUCAGCCUCUCAAGUGCUGGGAUUACAGGCAUGCACCAUCACACCCGGCCUGUUAUUAUCUUCAAAAAAGAAGCCAAGCUUGCUUUUCAGUUUCUCUGAAUUUUCUUUCACCUAAAGUGUCUGGAAAUCUCUUUCCCCGGACAGAAGUGAAAUGUAUACUGUAGAUGACCAGCCAGGAGAGGCAGAAGGUGGGACUGGGGAGAGAGAGGAAAAAAGCAGAGAGAAACAAAACUGGAGAAGAUUAUUAUAAUAACAAUACCUAGCUGUUAUUCAGCUCUUCUGUAUUGGUCAAACAGCCCCCUUGCCAAAGCAGUGCCUCUUUUAAUGGUCUCAAUCACUGUAUGGGAAAAGUACUUAUCUUACAUGUGAAACUAGUGAGCUUUGGGUGCAGUGACUUACCUUAGAAACUCACCUAGUGGCCAGCUUGGGUCUAGAAGUCAGCCAGGCAUGGUGGUGCACACCUGUAAUCCCAGCACUCGGGAGGCUGAGGCAGGAGGAUCGCUGUGAGUUCGAGACCAGCCUGGGCUACAUAGUGAGUUCCAGGUCAGUCUCAACUACAUAGUGAGACCCUGUCUCAAAACAGACACACACAUACACACACACACACACACACACACACACACAGUCAGUCUGGUGCCAUGCUGCUGAACCGAGUUUGUGUGUGAAUACGCCUCCCAGUCAUGCCCUGUGUACCCUGAGUACUGCGUGACUGGGUGCGGUGAAGGAUAAGAGGUGAAUUUCUUGAAGGCUGUGAGAAGCAGCAGCAUGGUGUGCUGCUUGUCACUUUGCACGUCCUCCUGAGAUUCUCUGUCAACUGCAGACCUGGCCUCUCGUCUCUGUUUUCUUUUUCCUGUUUCUCAUAGGCUUUCUUUUUAGAAUUUAUACAUUUGCUUAAGGAAUCUCUGGGGUUUUUAACACUAGAGAGUUAAAACAUGAUAUGAUAAAUCCUAUGUAGUUUGGUCUGCGGAGGAUUAAAUAGAGUAUUAAACUAUACAAGACAGGUAAAUAGAUAUUGCAUGGUGUAAUCCUAGAAGGAAGCUCUGACUUGUACGACAGAGAGUAGGUUUUGGAGUCAGACAGUACCUGCGACCCAGCUGAAUGUCAGCUUUACAACCUGUUGUGUGUCUCUGGAUAAACUGCUCAUGAUCUUGUGUUUUCUCACUUAUGAGAUGGUGGUAACAAUUGCACUCUUUGUAAGGGGUACAAAACCCUGCUGAAAGAACUUUAGCGUGGCAUCUUAUACCUAGUAGGUAUUCAGUAAGUGGCAACUGCUGAAUUUGUACCCAAUAAAAACGAGUGUAACUUCUUGGAAU